GACGUAGGAUGCAAGCGUUGUCCGGAAUUAUUGGGCGUAAAGAGUUCGUAGGCGGUUGCCUAAGUCUGAUGUUAAAUACUGGAGCUCAACUCCGGCAUGGCAUUGGAAACUGGGCAGCUAGAGUGUGGUAGAGGUCUCGGGAAUUCCAGGUGUAGCGGUGAAAUGCGUAGAUAUCUGGAGGAACACCGGUGGCGAAAGCGCGAGACUGGGCCAUAACUGACGCUGAGGAACGAAAGCCAGGGGAGCGAAAGGG
rnacentral:rRNA from 1 species